rnacentral:rRNA from 1 species
CCACGCCCGCUCAGAAACUACAAAUGAAUUGACGGGGCCCGCACAAGCGGUGGAGUAUGUGGUUUAAUUCGAUGCAACGCGAAGAACCUUACCUGGUCUUGACAUCCCGGAGACCCUUAGGAAACUAGGGGGUGCUUCCAUCUGGAAGAAUCUGGAGACAGGUGCUGCAUGGCUGUCGUCAGCUCGUGUCGUGAGAUGUUGGGUUAAGUCCCGCAACGAGCGCAACCCUUGCCUUUAGUUGCCAGCAGUUCGGCUGGGCACUCUAAAGGGACUGCCGGUGUUAAACCGGAGGAAGGUGGGGAUGACGUCAAGUCCUCAUGGCCUUUAUGACCAGGGCUACACACGUACUACAAUGGCCGAUACAAAGGGCAGCGACACUGCGAGGUGAAGCCAAUCCCGUAAAAUCGGUCUCAGUCCGGAUUGGAGUCUGCAACUCGACUCCAUGAAGUUGGAAUCGCUAGUAAUCGUGGAUCAGCAUGCCACGGUGAAUACGUUCCCGGGCCUU